GACGAACGCUGGCGGCGUGCUUAACACAUGCAAGUCGAACGGUGACCCAUCUUCGGAUGGUGAUCAGUGGCGAACGGGUGAGUAACACGUGGGCAACCUGCCCCUAGCUCUGGGAUAACUCCUCGAAAGAGGUGCUAAUACCGGAUAUCACCUCCCUGGACAUCCAGGGUGGUAGAAAGUUUUUCGGCUAGGGAUGGGCCCGCGGCCUAUCAGCUUGUUGGUGGGGUAAUGGCCUACCAAGGCGACGACGGGUAGCCGGCCUGAGAGGGCGACCGGCCACACUGGGACUGAGACACGGCCCAGACUCCUACGGGAGGCAGCAGUGGGGAAUAUUGCGCAAUGGGCGAAAGCCUGACGCAGCAACGCCGCGUGAGGGAUGACGGCCUUCGGGUUGUAAACCUCUUUCAGCAGGGACGAAGCGAAAGUGACUGUACCUGCAGAAGAAGCGCCGGCUAACUACGUGCCAGCAGCCGCGGUAACAC
rnacentral:rRNA from 1 species